GUCUAAGUUCCUUGGAACAGGACGUCACAGAGGGUGAGAAUCCCGUACGUGACCGGUGGUCAACCCCGUGUGAGGCUCCUUCGACGAGUCGAGUUGUUUGGGAAUGCAGCUCUAAAUGGGUGGUAAAUUUCAUCUAAAGCUAAAUAUUGGCCAGAGACCGAUAGCGCACAAGUAGAGUGAUCGAAAGAUGAAAAGCACUUUGGAAAGAGAGUUAAAAAGUACGUGAAAUUGUUGAAAGGGAAGCGCUUGCAACCAGACUUGUCCGCGGGUGAUCAACCGUCCUUCGGGGCGGUGCACUCGCCCGCGAUCAGGCCAGUAUCGGUUUCAGCAGCCGGACAAAGACCUGGGGAACGUGGCUCCUCUCGGGGAGUGUUAUAGCCCGGGGUGUAAUACGGUUAGUUGGGACCGAGGACCGCGCUUCGGCUAGGAUACUGGCGUAAUGGUUGUCAGCGACCCGUCUUGAAACACGGACCAAGGAGUCUACCAUUUAUGCGAGUGUUUGGGUGUCAAACCCAUGCGCGCAAUGAAAGUGAACGGAGGUGGGAACCCUUCGGGGGGCACCAUCGACCGAUCCUGAUGUCUUCGGAUGGAUUUGAGUACGAGCAUAACUGGUGGGACCCGAAAGAUGGUGAACUAUGCGUGAAUAGGGUGAAGCCAGAGGAAACUCUGGUGGAGGCUCGCAGCGGUUCUGACGUGCAAAUCGAUCGUCAAAUUUGCGUAUAGGGGCGAAAGACUAAUCGAACCAUCUAAGCGUUCCACUACUAGAUGGGAUACGGGGGCCGAGAAGCCCCCGAGUAGUCCCCGUCGCGGGGGCCACAUCGCUGGUCUUAACGGGAAUGCCCCUUACGAUUGAGGGGCCACCCGGCGUGGGUUUCGACCCAUUCACAGACUAAGUGCGAUGGCUGGGGUGCCCCGGUUGGGAUAUAGCCGAUUCGCCCCUCGCGGGNCCAUGUACGCAAGAGUAGCUGGUUCCUGCCGAAGUUUCCCUCAGGAUAGCAGUAACGUUUUCAGUUUUAUGAGGUAAAGCGAAUGAUUAGAGGCCUUGGGGCAGAAACUGCCUUAACCUAUUCUCAAACUUUAAAUAUGUAAGAAGUCCUUGUUACUUAGUUGAACGUGGACAUUUGAAUGCACCGUUACUAGUGGGCCAUUUUUGGUAAGCAGAACUGGCGAUGCGGGAUGAACCGAACGUGAGGUUAAGGUGCCGGAAUAUACGCUCAUCAGACACCAUUUUGUGGUGUCGACCCCCGGGGCCCACGGGCCCCGGCCGAGUUGUCUGACUCUCUCAGGCGGCGAGGUCUCCGAUCUACGAGGAGUGCUGUCCCCAGCUCACCCGUAGCCCCGCGAAGCUUCGCGGGGCCCACAGAUCAAGGGCAGGCCGGUGGACCCCGCGGGGUUCACUCGAGAUAUGACCGUUCCCCGGGUGCGACCCCGGGGGCGAAAAGCAAAAGGUGUUAAUUCAUCUAGACAGCCGGACGGUGGCCAUGGAAGUCGGAAUCCGCUAAGGAGUGUGUGAGGUGUUGCACACUGUACAGCGUACGUCGCUAGCGAGGGGCCCUAAAAACGCCCCCCGUGACAGCUCCAGGAUGCUAGGAUGCGCCCCGCGAGGGGUGCAACUCGCAGUGGGGAACCCCCCCAUCCACAGACUAGACGGAGCAGACCUCGGGUCCCCCCCGGGGUUGAGACAUAGUCGUUCACGGGCCCCGAGAGGGUGCCUAUCCGCCAGAACAACUCACCGGCCGAAUGA
rnacentral:rRNA from 1 species